rnacentral:rRNA from 1 species
GGUUAAGCGACUAAGCGUACACGGUGGAUGCCCUGGCAGUCAGAGGCGAUGAAGGACGUGCUAAUCUGCGAUAAGCGUCGGUAAGGUGAUAUGAACCGUUAUAACCGGCGAUUUCCGAAUGGGGAAACCCAGUGUGUUUCGACACACUAUCAUUAACUGAAUCCAUAGGUUAAUGAGGCGAACCGGGGGAACUGAAACAUCUAAGUACCCCGAGGAAAAGAAAUCAACCGAGAUUCCCCCAGUAGCGGCGAGCGAACGGGGAGCAGCCCAGAGCCUGAAUCAGUGUGUGUGUUAGUGGAAGCGUCUGGAAAGGCGCGCGAUACAGGGUGACAGCCCCGUACACAAAAAUGCACAUAUUGUGAGCUCGAUGAGUAGGGCGGGACACGUGGUAUCCUGUCUGAAUAUGGGGGGACCAUCCUCCAAGGCUAAAUACUCCUGACUGACCGAUAGUGAACCAGUACCGUGAGGGAAAGGCGAAAAGAACCCCGGCGAGGGGAGUGAAAAAGAACCUGAAACCGUGUACGUACAAGCAGUGGGAGCCUCUUUUAUGGGGUGACUGCGUACCUUUUGUAUAAUGGGUCAGCGACUUAUAUUCUGUAGCAAGGUUAACCGAAUAGGGGAGCCGAAGGGAAACCGAGUCUUAACUGGGCGUUAAGUUGCAGGGUAUAGACCCGAAACCCGGUGAUCUAGCCAUGGGCAGGUUGAAGGUUGGGUAACACUAACUGGAGGACCGAACCGACUAAUGUUGAAAAAUUAGCGGAUGACUUGUGGCUGGGGGUGAAAGGCCAAUCAAACCGGGAGAUAGCUGGUUCUCCCCGAAAGCUAUUUAGGUAGCGCCUCGUGAAUUCAUCUCCGGGGGUAGAGCACUGUUUCGGCAAGGGGGUCAUCCCGACUUACCAACCCGAUGCAAACUGCGAAUACCGGAGAAUGUUAUCACGGGAGACACACGGCGGGUGCUAACGUCCGUCGUGAAGAGGGAAACAACCCAGACCGCCAGCUAAGGUCCCAAAGUCAUGGUUAAGUGGGAAACGAUGUGGGAAGGCCCAGACAGCCAGGAUGUUGGCUUAGAAGCAGCCAUCAUUUAAAGAAAGCGUAAUAGCUCACUGGUCGAGUCGGCCUGCGCGGAAGAUGUAACGGGGCUAAACCAUGCACCGAAGCUGCGGCAGCGACACUAUGUGUUGUUGGGUAGGGGAGCGUUCUGUAAGCCUGUGAAGGUGUGCUGUGAGGCAUGCUGGAGGUAUCAGAAGUGCGAAUGCUGACAUAAGUAACGAUAAAGCGGGUGAAAAGCCCGCUCGCCGGAAGACCAAGGGUUCCUGUCCAACGUUAAUCGGGGCAGGGUGAGUCGACCCCUAAGGCGAGGCCGAAAGGCGUAGUCGAUGGGAAACAGGUUAAUAUUCCUGUACUUGGUGUUACUGCGAAGGGGGGACGGAGAAGGCUAUGUUGGCCGGGCGACGGUUGUCCCGGUUUAAGCGUGUAGGCUGGUUUUCCAGGCAAAUCCGGAAAAUCAAGGCUGAGGCGUGAUGACGAGGCACUACGGUGCUGAAGCAACAAAUGCCCUGCUUCCAGGAAAAGCCUCUAAGCAUCAGGUAACAUCAAAUCGUACCCCAAACCGACACAGGUGGUCAGGUAGAGAAUACCAAGGCGCUUGAGAGAACUCGGGUGAAGGAACUAGGCAAAAUGGUGCCGUAACUUCGGGAGAAGGCACGCUGAUAUGUAGGUGAAGUCCCUUGCGGAUGGAGCUGAAAUCAGUCGAAGAUACCAGCUGGCUGCAACUGUUUAUUAAAAACACAGCACUGUGCAAACACGAAAGUGGACGUAUACGGUGUGACGCCUGCCCGGUGCCGGAAGGUUAAUUGAUGGGGUCAGCGCAAGCGAAGCUCUUGAUCGAAGCCCCGGUAAACGGCGGCCGUAACUAUAACGGUCCUAAGGUAGCGAAAUUCCUUGUCGGGUAAGUUCCGACCUGCACGAAUGGCGUAAUGAUGGCCAGGCUGUCUCCACCCGAGACUCAGUGAAAUUGAACUCGCUGUGAAGAUGCAGUGUACCCGCGGCAAGACGGAAAGACCCCGUGAACCUUUACUAUAGCUUGACACUGAACAUUGAGCCUUGAUGUGUAGGAUAGGUGGGAGGCUUAGAAGUGUGGACGCCAGUCUGCAUGGAGCCGACCUUGAAAUACCACCCUUUAAUGUUUGAUGUUCUAACGUUGACCCGUAAUCCGGGUUGCGGACAGUGUCUGGUGGGUAGUUUGACUGGGGCGGUCUCCUCCUAAAGAGUAACGGAGGAGCACGAAGGUUGGCUAAUCCUGGUCGGACAUCAGGAGGUUAGUGCAAUGGCAUAAGCCAGCUUGACUGCGAGCGUGACGGCGCGAGCAGGUGCGAAAGCAGGUCAUAGUGAUCCGGUGGUUCUGAAUGGAAGGGCCAUCGCUCAACGGAUAAAAGGUACUCCGGGGAUAACAGGCUGAUACCGCCCAAGAGUUCAUAUCGACGGCGGUGUUUGGCACCUCGAUGUCGGCUCAUCACAUCCUGGGGCUGAAGUAGGUCCCAAGGGUAUGGCUGUUCGCCAUUUAAAGUGGUACGCGAGCUGGGUUUAGAACGUCGUGAGACAGUUCGGUCCCUAUCUGCCGUGGGCGCUGGAGAACUGAGGGGGGCUGCUCCUAGUACGAGAGGACCGGAGUGGACGCAUCACUGGUGUUCGGGUUGUCAUGCCAAUGGCACUGCCCGGUAGCUAAAUGCGGAAGAGAUAAGUGCUGAAAGCAUCUAAGCACGAAACUUGCCCCGAGAUGAGUUCUCCCUGACCCUUUAAGGGUCCUGAAGGAACGUUGAAGACGACGACGUUGAUAGGCCGGGUGUGUAAGCGCAGCGAUGCGUUGAGCUAACCGGUACUAAUGAACCGUGAGGCUUAACCUU